UUUAGCAUGGAAUAAUGGAAUAGGACGUGUGGUUCUAUUUUGUUGGUUUCUAGGACCGCCGUAAUGAUUAAUAGGGAUAGUCGGGGGCAUCAGUAUUCAAUUGUCAGAGGUGAAAUUCUUGGAUUUAUUGAAGACUAACUACUGCGAAAGCAUUUGCCAAGGAUGUUUUCAUUAAUCAGUGAACGAAAGUUAGGGGAUCGAAGACGAUCAGAUACCGUCGUAGUCUUAACCAUAAACUAUGCCGACUAGGGAUCGGGCGAUGUUAUCUUUUUGACUCGCUCGGCACCUUACGAGAAAUCAAAGUUUUUGGGUUCUGGGGGGAGUAUGGUCGCAGGGCUGAAACUUAAAGAAAUUGACGGAAGGGCACCACCAGGAGUGGAGCCUGCGGCUUAAUUUGACUCAACACGGGGAAACUCACCAGGUCCAGACACAAUAAGGAUUGACAGAUUGAGAGCUCUUUCUUGAUUUUGUGGGUGGUGGUGCAUGGCCGUUCUUGGUUGGUGGAGUGAUUUGUCCGCUUAAUUGCGAUAACGAACGAGACCUUAACCUGCUAAAUAGCCCGGCUAGCUUUGGCUGGUCGCUGGCUUCUUAGAGGGACUAUCGGCUCAAGCCGAUGGAAGUUUGAGGCAAUAACAGGUCUGUGAUGCCCUUAGAUGUUCUGGGCCGCACGCGCGCUACACUGACAGAGCCAACGAGUUCAUCACCUUGGCCGAAAGGUCUGGGUAUCUUGUUAAACUCUGUCGUGCUGGGGAUAGAGCAUUGCAAUA
rnacentral:rRNA from 1 species